AUCCACGGCCACACCACGCUGAACGUGAUCUAGUCUGAUCUCGGAAACUAAGCAGGGUCUGGAAUGGUUAGUACUUGCAUGGGAGACUAUAUGGGAAUACCGGGUGCUGUAGGCU
ensembl:rRNA 5S_rRNA 5S ribosomal RNA